rnacentral:rRNA from 2 species
GCGGCGGACGGGUGAGUAACACGUGGGCAACCUGCCCUGCAGACUGGGAUAACUUCGGGAAACCGGAGCUAAUACCGGAUAACACCGAAAACCGCAUGGUUUUCGGUUGAAAGGCGGCUUUUAGCUGUCACUGCAGGAUGGGCCCGCGGCGCAUUAGCUAGUUGGUGAGGUAACGGCUCACCAAGGCGACGAUGCGUAGCCGACCUGAGAGGGUGACCGGCCACACUGGGACUGAGACACGGCCCAGACUCCUACGGGAGGCAGCAGUAGGGAAUCUUCCGCAAUGGACGAAAGUCUGACGGAGCAACGCCGCGUGAGCGAAGAAGGUCUUCGGAUCGUAAAGCUCUGUUGUCAGGGAAGAACAAGUACCGUUCGAACAGGGCGGUACCUUGACGGUACCUGACGAGGAAGCCACGGCUAACUACUUGCCACCAGCCGCGGUAAUAC